rnacentral:lncRNA from 1 species
UGACGACCAUCUUGUCUUUAUAGUAGGGCCUAACACACCCAAACUUAGGAUCUUCAACGCAGAAGUUUCGUAAAUAAAAUCAAGGACAGCGGAAGGAUUAUUUCGUUUUUUAUAAAGUUAAUUAACCCCACGUUUUCCCAAUGUAGAAAAAAAACCUACCGCAAAUGUACUACGAGUUUCAAUCGACUUGAGAGUCUACGUCAGUGAAUAUUCAUGGUGAUUGACCUUUGCAACGAGUUGCCUGCAGAUGUGGUAGAUGGAGAUAAUUAUCGCUGACCUUCAGGGACUGAGAUCAUAGAUGAUGUCACGAAUGGUGGAUGAAGACAACGACUUGAAACAUGCAGAAGUUGGGUAUUUCAAAAUUAUAUGGAUUAAAAUGUCUGUUUAAAAAAGAAGCCAAUAUCAUGACUUAUAGAAAUAAUACAACUCUAACCAACUGGAGCUACACCAAUCAACAUAUGGUAACUAUUGUUGUAUUCUAGAAACAGUACAAACUUGACAACCUGGAGCUACACCAAUCAACACUUGGUAACUAUUGUUGUAUUCUAGAAACAGUGUAAACUUGACAACCUGGAGCUACACCAAUCAACACUUGGUAACUAUUGUUGUAUUCUAGAAACAAAGCAGACUUCACAACCUGGAGCUACACCAAUCAACACUUGGUAACUAUUGUUGUAUUCUAGAAACAGUGUAAACUUGACAACCUGGAGCUACACCAAUCAACACUUGGUAACUAUUGUUGUAUUCUAGAAACAGUGUAAACUUGACAACCUGGAGCUACACCAAUCAACCCUUGGUAACUAUUGUUGUAUUCUAGAAACAGUGUAAACUUGACAACCUGGAGCUACACCAAUCAACCCUUGGUAACUAUUGUUGUAUUCUAGAAACAAAGCAAAAUUGACAACCUGGAGCUACACCAAUCAA